rnacentral:hammerhead_ribozyme from 1 species
GCACUGCUGACGAGUCCCAAACAGGACGAAACGAUUAUCCGGUUC